AAGGCAGAGACACGGAGAUCUUCCAUCUGCUGGCUCACUCUUCCAGCACCUGCAACAGCCAGGGCUGGACCAGGCUGCAGCCAAGAGCCCAGAACUCCAUCCGGGUCCCCCACAUGGGUGGCAGAGACCCAAGAACUGGAGCCUGGAGCCAUUGUCUGCUGCCUCCCACAGUGUGCAGUCGCAGGAAGCUGGAAAGAGGAGCAGAGCCAGGAACCAAACCCAGGCACUGAUCCAGGACGCGAGUGUCGUAACUGCGGGCCAAACGCUCAGCCCCAGAACUCACUCCUGACUGCGGUUCUGCUCCCUCUAGCUUCCUCCCACAGCUUUGCACAGUGCACAGGACAGCAGCUUGAGCCCGAGGGGGCAAGAGUGGCAGGCACCCCCGAGACCUGUGCCAGAGAGGCACCGAAAAGGAGGGCGUCGCUGAGGUCUACCGUGCCUUCAGACUUGGAAAUGCCAGACUCCACCCGUGCCAAACUGCCUCUUGUCCUCUGGUCAUCUUGAUGCCUCUUGAAGACACGGAAGUCCACCUGGAAGUCCCCGGCCCCUCAUCCCCACAUGGACCCCCAAGUUCCUUCUUCCCUCUGAGAACGGAGUUGAGGAACCAUCUCCUACUGUGAGUGUGCAUACCUUACUGUCCAGUGCCUUCCCGACACUUAAGUUACUUCCUCCCUUGGACCCUCCCAGCUCUUGUUAGAGUUCUCACUGACCUGACCGCAUCUGCUCUCAGUGACGGUCUGCGACCCUGUUCUCCUGGAGUUCUCUUUAAGGUUCUCCCUUCUUUCUGUUUGCCUCAGGUAUAUCCACAGAGCAGAACACCUGAUCUUAGAUUUUCCUGCCAUUUCUUGGCCAAAGGUCUGUGAUGGGAAUGAGGACUUACAGAGUAAGCUUUGAUGGGGCCCUCAAUUCUGGCAACUCAUAUUUGCUCCUGUCCUCACCGCUGAUGAGCAGGUGAAAUCCUCCCGCUAGCCAGUAUGAAGCUAGGAGUCUUCGUGAAGCUUGAAGUCUGCGAACCUAAGCUGAAGUUGAGGUUCACAUUUGAGAACUUGAGGGUGACGGUAGCAGACGCCACGUGGCAUGUCCAUAUUGCCAUACGAUAUUAAGAUUAACCCAGUCUGCCAGAGUACGUUGACCCCCAGAUUAAAAGACAUUUUGUGUCCUCCUUGUCACCUGUCUGGGAGGUGAGUGGUUCAUUCCUAAGGAAGCAUGUCUUAGAAAGUGGAAUUGAACUUAGAAGGAGAAAUGUUCUUUGAUUCUUACUCAUGCCUUAAUGGAUGCAAUAUGCAUUGGUUUUGCCCAGGCACGUUAUGGACCAGUGUGGGCAAAGAGCAAAUAUGAAUGCAUGUAGCCUAGAUGGCAACAGAGCCCUCAUGCCUCCUAUUAGCAUAUCACCCAGCCCAGCUGGCUGCAAAGACUACAUCUAAUGUUAAAGAGCCCCACCCUCACCUGUCGGCCAGGACACAAGUCCCUUCUGCAACAUCUCUCAUCUCCAUAUUACUAAUCUAGGCAUAAAGAAUAGUGUUCACACUGAAAUUUUAAAUUCCAGAUUAUCCUUGAUCCAAACACAGCCUGCCUGUCAUGCGGCAACCUUGCCCUCAUCCCUCAUGUGGGACCCUCAUUCCUUCUCACCAUGCCUCUCAGUUUCCACUCACCUCUCUGCAAGAGCUGAGCUGCCAUGACAAUUAGCUCUUUGAGAAAUCCUUGUGCCAGGCACCAGACGAAACAGAAAGCAAGACAAAUCAGGGCCUGUCCUCCUGAAGUUCACAGUCGAAUAACAGAAUCUGUAGAGAUAACACACUUUCCUUCCAACAGUUUGGGUCCAUUCUGACAUCAGGCAUUUUCUGUGUGGUGCUUACAUACAGAAUUCACUGUAUGUGACACAGUCAUAGCCUGGCUGGGGGUGCGGGCAGGGGCAUAUGGCUUACGGUAAUUUGAGCUGCGGUCGGGAGCGGUCAUUUGGCCUGACAGUUAAGCCCCAGUUAAGAUGCUGAUGUCCUGUUCUGUGGGGCCUGACGUGAACAUCCACCUCUGCCUCUUGACCCCAGCUUUCUGCUAAUGUACACCCUGGGAGGCGGCAGUGAUGGCUCAAGUAAUUGGCUCCUGCCACCCAUGGGAUUGAGUUUCUGCUUUGUGGUUUGAGAUCAUCCCAGUGCGGACUCUUGUGAGCAUUUGGGGGGUAAACCAGCACAUGGGAGCUCUGUCUCAGAGAGAAAGUGAGCGAGAGGGAGAGAGAGGGGCAGCUGAAGGCCUUUAGAAAAGCCCAGCUAGGUGUGCACCAGAACUCUCAGUCUGAGUCUUCCUCGGACCUGUGCUGGGGCUGGAGCUCUAGCAGUGCACCGAGAGGGGCCUUGUGUUCAGUGGCACCAGCAGAGGCUUGGGAGCGCUCCUGAGAGCAGUGUUGUACUUGUUGUUCUUCGUGUGAUCCUCACAGCUAGUCUAGGUCGGUUCCAGUACACAGUGGCCUAGAUAUAAACCGCUCAGGAAGGAAGCAGCAGAGCUGGGCUCAAACCCGGAACUCCCAUCUCCAGGGGGGAAUUUCGUCAGAGACCACUGGGCGAAAGGGUGCAGCGUGUCCGGGUCAGACAGGGGGACAGGCUACGCACUCCCUUUCCCACCCUUUUCCCAUCUUCCUUCUUCCCCAGGAACAGCAGUGGCUGAGCAAACAGUCCGGUUGAACAGGGGGAAGAGGUGGAGGGUGGGGAACAGGCUGGCAUUCUGCACCUGGGAGCAAAGCAUAAUCCGUUUAGCAAUGGCAAGAACAGAGAGAAGGAUCUGUCUUCUCAGUGCCAGCAACCUUCAGAUAUCAAAAAUAAGGUGGCAGUUUUCAGAUUACCCCCAGGUGGUUGGGAUUUGAAAUUUAUCCUGAAUAUAGUGUUGUCUGAAUGGGGGCACUAAGUCUUCCUGUGAAUCAUAUGGUAUGGCACAGGAUACUAGAGAAUACUUGAGGGCAAAUGUGUGCAAAUAUCUGUGUGUAUCUAUUUAUGUGCAUGUGAGUCUGUGCAUGUAUGUAGACCAUGUAGUCACACAUGCACACGUACUCAUUUCAGCAUAAUGCUGGCUGUUUCUCUUUUACAGCUCAGUAGAGCAGUUAUUCAAGCAUCUCUCAUUUGCCAGGUACAGUGUUAGGCACUAAAGGGGACAGAAAGAAAAACUGGGCAUGGUUUCUACUUUCAAAAAGCUUUUAGUAUGCUGCAUUUAAUUUGCCCUACUAGAGUUUUAAAUUCGACCUCACAGCGAUAUUAGGAGCUUGAGGUCUCUUCAAGGAGUUCGGAAUAACAAAAGGAACACAACAGCAGGACUUCCGCUCAACCAGCACAGAUUCUGUACUCAUCCUAGCUAAAUGAGGGAUAGGUGACCAAGCACAAUACUGAGUCGUGGGCUAUGCCCAAGUUUGAAAUACUAGGAGAGAUCCAUCACCAGCGCAAUUAUGGCAAAAAUUUAAUGCCAGGGACUACAGUUUAACAUGCAGUCAUUUCCAUUCUCGCUCUUCCAGAUUCCAGGCAAAAAUCUCAUUUGUAAAAGAAUUCAAUUAUCUUAAUUUGGAAAAGACUAAAGGAAGAUGUGGUGGCUGUCUUCAAAUAUUUAAGAUCUUUCCAUGUUGCUGUACAACCAAGACCAAUGGACAGAAGUCACAGAGGCCAAUUUUAGCUCAAAUAAGGAAGGAUUUAUGAGUUGCCUCAGAGAUAAUGAGCUCCCCAGCACAGGAAGGAUACAAGCAGAUGGAUGGCCAUCUGCCAGGACUGCCGCAGAGGGUACUCCAGCAGUACAUUAGGAGGCUGAAUGAGCUACCUUCCGUCUCUAAAUUCUUAGAUUCUCAGUCUGUCUCCUUGGCCCCAGGCUAAAAGUAUAUCUGAAUCUUUGGAGAAAUGUCCCACUAUCUGUUGAAAGUAAAAACUUGCCUGAUGUAUUUGGGCCUUUUUCUGUAGAUGCAUGGAUACUUUUCUUUAAAUAAAGUGAAGAUACUUAAUACUAGGACA
rnacentral:lncRNA from 1 species